AGUGAACGCUGGCGGUAGGCCUAACACAUGCAAGUCGAACGGCAGCACAGGAGAGCUUGCUCUCUGGGUGGCGAGUGGCGGACGGGUGAGGAAUACAUCGGAAUCUACUUUUUCGUGGGGGAUAACGUAGGGAAACUUACGCUAAUACCGCAUACGACCUACGGGUGAAAGCAGGGGACCUUCGGGCCUUGCGCGAUUGAAUGAGCCGAUGUCGGAUUAGCUAGUUGGCGGGGUAAAGGCCCACCAAGGCGACGAUCCGUAGCUGGUCUGAGAGGAUGACCGGCCACACUGGAACUGAGACACGGUCCAGACUCCUACGGGAGGCAGCAGUGGGGAAUAUCGGACAAUGGGCGCAAGCCUGAUCCAGCCAUACCGCGUGGGUGAAGAAGGCCUUCGGGUUGUAAAGCCCUUUUGUUGGGAAAGAAAUCCAGCUGGCUAAUACCCGGUUGGGAUGACGGUACCCAAAGAAUAAGCACCGGCUAACUUCGUGCCAGCCGCCGCGGUAA
rnacentral:rRNA from 1 species